UGUUCGUGUGGUGUUUCUGUUUGGCGAAUUCACAGCAUGGCACGUUUGGAUUGUUGGUGCUUUUUCUGGCUGGUCGUUUGCCUGAUGGGGGUGCAGUUUGUUUAUGCGGCGUCAGGAGACUUGACCAAAAAAUGCGAUGGUGACCAGACGAUGAUGCUGUCAUUUGCCGGGUCUCCGACCGUUUUUCUUCAAAAGACGAGUGUUGGACUGGUAAAGGUGACCAACAAUCUCCCAGGAGUUGUCAUCCGUGAAAAGUCUGGCCGCACCACACUAACUGUGCCCUUUUCUUCAACGUACGGUUAUGCGUCUGAGAAG